GGAUGAACGCUAGCGGCAGGCUUNNNNNNNNNAAGUCGCGGGGCAGCACAGUGUAGCAAUACAUGGGUGGCGACCGGCAAACGGGUGCGGAACACGUACACAACCUUCCUUUAAGAGGGGAAUAACCCGGAGAAAUUCGGACUAAUACCCCAUAGUAACUAAUGGUGGCAUCACUUUUAGUUUAAAACUACGGUGCUUAGAGAUGGGUGUGCGUCUGAUUAGGUAGUUGGAGAGGUAACGGCUCACCAAGCCAACGAUCAGUAGCUGAUGUGAGAGCAUGAUCAGCCACACGGGCACUGAGACACGGGCCCGACUCCUACGGGAGGCAGCAGUAAGGAAUAUUGGACAAUGGACGCAAGUCUGAUCCAGCCAUGCCGCGUGAAGGAUUAAGGUCCUCUGGAUUGUAAACNUCUUUUAUAGGGGAAGAAAAGCAGAGAUUCUUCUUUGUCUGACGGUACCCUAUGAAUAAGCA
rnacentral:rRNA from 1 species